rnacentral:rRNA from 1 species
UACGUAGGGUGCGAGCGUUAAUCGGAAUUACUGGGCGUAAAGCGUGCGCAGGCGGUUGGUCGUGUCCUGUGUGAAAUCCCCGGGCUUAACCUGGGAACUGCACUUGAAACUACGAUGCUGGAGUAUGGCAGAGGGAGGUGGAAUUCCACGUGUAGCGGUGAAAUGCGGUAGAGAUGUGGAGGAACACCGGAUGGCGCAAGGCAAGCCUCCAUGGG